rnacentral:rRNA from 1 species
GCGAGAAUCUUUCACAAUGGGGGCAACCCUGAUGGAGCGACGCCGCGUGGAGGAUAAGGUCUUCGGAUUGUAAACUCCUGUCAUGCGCGAACAAGGUUGCCGGGUUAAUAACCCUGCAAAUUGAUGGUACCGCAAGAGGAAGAGACGGCUAACUCUGUGCCAGCAGCCGCGGUAAUACAGAGGUCUCAAGCGUUGUUCGGAAUCACUGGGCGUAAAGGGUGCGUAGGUGGCGUGGUAAGUCAGAUGUGAAAGCCCAGGGCUCAACCCUGGAAUUGCAUCCGAUACUCCCACGCUAGAGUACUGAAGAGGUGACUAGAAUUCUCGGUGUAGCAGUGAAAUGCGUAGAUAUCGAGAGGAAUACCAAAGGCGAAGGCAGGUCACUGGGCAGUUACUGACACUGAGGCACGAAGGCCAGGGGAGCAAA